GAAUAUUGCGCAAUGGGGGAAACCCUGACGCAGCAACGCCGCGUGGAGGAAGAAGGCCUUCGGGUCGUAAACUCCUGUCUUUUGGGACGAUAAUGACGGUACCAAAGGAGGAAGCCACGGCUAACUACGUGCCAGCAGCCGCGGUAAUACGUAGGUGGCGAGCGUUGUCCGGAAUUACUGGGCGUAAAGGGUGCGUAGGCGGAAUCUUAAGUCAGAUGUGAAAUUCCUGGGCUCAACCUGGGAACUGCAUUUGAAACUGAGGUUCUAGAGUGCAGGAGAGGAAAGCGGAAUUCCUAGUGUAGCGGUGAUAUGCGUAGAUAUUAGGAAGAACACCAGUGGCGAAGGCGGCUUUCUGGACUGUAACUGACGCUGAGGCACGAAAGCGUGGGGAGCAAACAGG
rnacentral:rRNA from 1 species